GGCCCCGUAGUCUAGCGGUUAGGACGACACUCUUUCAAGGUGUAGGUACGAGUUCGACUCUCGUCGGGGCUGCCA
rnacentral:tRNA from 1 species